rnacentral:lncRNA from 1 species
GUGGGCAUAUAAAUUAAUUUCAGCAGGAAAUUUUUGUUCAUGUGACAUUCUGUAAAACAAUGCUUGAAAUAUGAACCCAAACAUUCUUUGCUGGUUUAAUUCUGUUACACUAUAUAUGGAGAUUAGAUUGCAGUUGCUUUUAAAUUAUCUGUCCAGCCAGUAUUUACAUCAAAUAAGUGAUUAUAAAGGUCUUAGAUGUCUUUCAUGUUUAGUUAUGUUAUAAUGUAGUUGUGUAUUAUCUUUUUAAAUAAUUUUAAUCUUUUAUGAAAGGAGCUUGAAAGUGGUACAGUCAUGAGUGCAGUCCAGCUUGUUAGUUGUGAUGAAAAGAACUUGAAAAAUGCUGAUGGGUUCAACAUAGGCAAAAGAACAGGAUAAAAAAAAAUGUUAGCAUAGUAAGUUUAAAGAGGAAAGAAGUAGGAUUUAAAGGUACUGGAUGGUUGAAACAGCUGCCUUGAUAAUUAAAGGAUGGUAACUAAAUGGCAAGACAAAUAAUUCCAGAGAACAAAGAGCUGACCUGCAUUGAACCACAAUAUAUGCACUGACACUAUAUAAUGUGAAGUUAGUAGUACAUGACUGAUUUUGAAUAUAUAUCAAGAUGAUCAACAUUUUUUUCUGUAUUUACAAAUAAUGAUUCUACGCCGUAUGUUUGUUUUCCAAGCUGGAGAGUAUACCUGUAUCCAUCAUGUGACAUCAGUACCAAUUUGAGAUUCAUGCAGGACUUUUGUCAUUUAUCAAAAAUGUGUUACAUGCUUCAGUUCAAAAGCUCAUUCAGAAUUUCAGAGCUUAUGUUGUACUGUUAUAUGUCUUGAUGACAAUAAAACCAAUCUUACUGUA